rnacentral:rRNA from 1 species
CCUGCAAAACGAAUCUAAGUUCCCCCUUAACCCUCUUUUUCCUCCCCAGACAAACCCAACCCAAAUGUGAUAGUUAAGGGCUAUUUAAAGGGGGUACAGCCCCUUUAAAAAAGGACACAACCUCCACCAGCGGAUAACCCCUGUACGCCCAACCCCGUGGGCCUUAAAGCAGCCACCCCCAAAGAUUGCGUCAAAGCUCCAUCAACCAAAAACCCCCAAAACCAAUGCGACUCCCUACACCCACAGCAGGCCAACCUAUAACAAUAGAUGAGUCAAUGCUAGAACGAGUAACCAGGACACUACGUCCCCCUAAGCGCCAGCCUGUAUACCAUUAACAGUAAAACCUCAAUAAUAACCACCCCCACCAUUGAACCCACCCUGUCAACCCAACUCAGGGGCGCAUACUGGAGUGAUCAAAAUCUACAAAAGGAACUCGGCAAACCUAAGACCCGACUGUUUACCAAAAACAUAGCCUUCAGCCAAACAAGUAUUGAAGGUGAUGCCUGCCCAGUGACACCAUGUUUAACGGCCGCGGUA